CAGCCGUAAACAAUGUGCGUUAGGUGUGUCGGUAACCACGUGUUACUGAUGCGCCGAAGAGAAAUCGUGAAACGCACCACCUGGGAAGUACGGUCGCAAGGCUGAAACUUAAAGGAAUUGGCGGGGGAGCACCACAACAGGUGGAGCCUGCGGUUUAAUUGGACUCAACGCCGGACAUCUCACCGGAUAAGACAGCUGAAUGAUUGUCAAUCUGAAGGUUUUACAUGACUAGCUGAGAGGAGGUGCAUGGCGUCAGUGACU
rnacentral:rRNA from 1 species